rnacentral:rRNA from 1 species
ACUUAGUUGCCAGCAUUCAGUUGGGCACUCUAAGGUGACUGCCGGCUAAAAGUCGGAGGAAGGUGGGGAUGACGUCAAAUCAUCAUGCCCCUUAUGACCUGGGCUACACACGUGCUACAAUGGGCGGUACAAAGGGUCGCGAACCCGCGAGGGGGAGCCAAUCCCAAAAAGCCGCUCUCAGUUCGGAUUGCAGGCUGCAACUCGCCUGCAUGAAGCCGGAAUCGCUAGUAAUCGCGGAUCAGCAUGCCGCGGUGAAUACGUUCCCGGGCCUU